AAUUUGAAAUCUGGCGUCUUCGACGUCCGAGUUGUAAUUUGAAGAAGCGACUUUGUAGCUGGUCCUUGUCUAUGUUCCUUGGAACAGGACGUCAUAGAGGGUGAGAAUCCCGUGUGGCGAGGAUCCCAGUUAUUUGUAAAGUGCUUUCGACGAGUCGAGUUGUUUGGGAAUGCAGCUCUAAGUGGGUGGUAAAUUCCAUCUAAAGCUAAAUAUUGGCGAGAGACCGAUAGCGAACAAGUACAGUGAUGGAAAGAUGAAAAGAACUUUGAAAAGAGAGUGAAAAAGUACGUGAAAUUGUUGAAAGGGAAGGGCAUUUGAUCAGACAUGGCGUUUGCUUCGGCUUUCGCUGGGCCAGCAUCAGUUUUAGCGGUUGGAUAAAUCCUCGGGAAUGUGGCUCUGCUUCGGUAGAGUGUUAUAGCCCGUGGGAAUACAGCCAGCUGGGACUGAGGAUUGCGACUUUUGUCAGGAUGCUGG
rnacentral:rRNA from 1 species